rnacentral:misc_RNA from 1 species
CACCCUUCGUGCUCUUUCCCUUCGCCCUGUCGCGAAUCGCGCCGCUUCCGACCGAUCUAGCGGAAAGACGAAUUUCUUCGUUGGUUACGUGCCAUCGCUGGAGGAAUGUCUUUGAAAACCACUCCCUGCGAAAAGAGAAAGAAAACUGGGAGGAAGAAGCUCGAAGGAUACUAAAGGCGAGAGCACGGUAGACGCGGAGAACUACAAGGCACACACUGU